GAACAUCUUCUGUUUUAUUCCUCGAUCUCUUUGAAAGCUCUGAAAAAAUAAAAAUAAAAAAUAAAAAUAAAUCCAUUGUUUCUCUCACUCUCUCUAUUGAAGAAAAACAGGGAGAGACAAACAUCGAAAGAGUAACGAAAGAGAAAAGAUCUUCCCCAAAUCGAAGAGGGAUUGGAUUCUCGAGGCUGGUUUUGGCAAUAUGGAACUGGGUAUUGAACUGUAAUUGAAGAAUGGGUAGACUGUGAAUUUUGGGUUGGUUUUGAUCUUUGGUGUCAAAGGGGUUUGUGUGUACAAAUGGCUGACAUAGCAGGUUUACAAGAAGCAGCGGGGUCUAGAUUUAGUGAAGUGGAGUUGAUUGGCAGAGGAUCUUUUGGCGAUGUCUAUAAAGCGUUCGAUAAGGAACUGAAGAAAGAAGUUGCUAUUAAGGUUAUCGAUUUAGAGGAAUCUGAGGAUGAAAUUGAGGACAUCCAGAAGGAAAUUUCUGUUCUGUCACAAUGCCGUUGUCCAUACAUCACAGAGUAUUAUGGUUCCUAUCUUCACCAAACUAAACUAUGGAUAAUAAUGGAAUACAUGGCUGGUGGUUCAGUUGCUGACCUACUCCAGUCAGGCCCUCCACUAGAUGAAAUGUCAAUUGCAUGUAUUUCACGGGAUUUGCUGCAUGCAAUUGAAUAUCUACAUAAUGAAGGAAAGAUUCAUAGAGAUAUCAAAGCGGCAAACAUUUUAUUGUCCGAGAAUGGUGAUGUUAAGGUUGCAGAUUUUGGUGUUUCGGCACAAUUAACAAGGACGAUAUCACGGAGAAAGACUUUUGUAGGAACACCUUUCUGGAUGGCACCAGAAGUGAUUCAGAAUUCAGAUGGAUACAACGAAAAGGCUGAUAUAUGGUCUUUGGGCAUAACUGUGAUUGAGAUGGCCAAAGGAGAACCUCCACUUGCAGACCUUCACCCUAUGAGAGUUCUUUUUAUUAUUCCGCGAGAAAAUCCACCUCAGUUGGAAGAGCAUUUUUCCCGCCCUAUGAAGGAAUUUGUUUCCUUAUGUUUGAAGAAAGUACCUGCUGAGAGGCCUAGUGCCAAGGAACUUCUCAAGCAUCGUUUUAUCAGGAAUGCUAGGAAGAGUCAGAAGCUUCUGGAGAGAAUUAGAGAGCGCCCAAAGUACCAAUUAAAGGAAGAUGGAGAAACUAGAAAUGGCCCCAUGGCUGUAGGAGAAUCAACCGACACUUUGAAGGUGAUGAGAGAUAUAGGAGGUGACGGAACUGUUCGAGCUAGCAGUAAUCUGGGAAAAACAUUUAAAAGUGCUGGGUGGGACUUCAGCAUUGGUGGAUCAAAUAGUACAGGUACUGUCCGAACUGCUGCAAAACCUCCUCAGAUUAGAGAAAGGAAACUAGAAGCUUCAUAUAAUCAAGCAAGACCGAGGACUCCAGAAAGUGGUAAUGCUCUUAGUGAAUCUAGGGAAGCUUCCUUUGGAAAAGACGCUAGGGAAUCAUACCACAAUGAACAUCAGGAUAAUGACCAUGAUAAAAAUGCAAUUAGGUGCACCAAGCAUGUGCCUUGCCUGAAAGAGUCUGAGGAUGAAAUGUCUGUCAGUGGGUCGGGAACCAUUGUCAUAAAAUCUCCUAGAGGAUCUCAAUCGUCUGCAUUGUUUCGUGACUCAAGCUCCCUUUCUAGCAGCACAUAUGCAUCUUUUGAAGAUGCUUCUACCAGUGGAACUAUUGUGUUACGUGGCCAAACCGAUGAUCCUGAUUCUCCACGAACCCCAAGAUCCAGGCAAGGAAUUCAAGAUAGAACUUCAAGUGCAUCGGUUGAAGAUAGCGCAUCAAAUCUUGCAGAGGCAAAGGCUGCAAUUCAAGCAGGGUUGAGGAAAGCAAAUGCUAGGGACAAGUCUUCAAGGAGCAAGCUUAAUAGUCCUGGCCAUGAAAACAGAAGAAAAGACCUAACAAGUAACUGUUCUGAUUCGUCUAGCAGUUCUCGUGAAUAUUUUGAUGCACCCAGAUUACUUUCAAGAUCAAGCCAAGCUAGUAAUGAUGAAGAAAAUGCUAAGAUAGCAUCAGCAUCUGUACCACUAUCAAUGUUACUUAUCCCUUCUCUAAAAGAGGUCAUUGCUGAUGAUUCAGAAGGGUCAGUUGUGCGUGCAGUUACGAAUUCCCUCAUAAACAUGGAGCGUGCAAAGCCUGGAUCUUGUGAAGCUCUUGUUCGCAAGUUGCUCGAACGAUUGGCAAGAGGUAAAAUUUUGCAGCUCAAAGGAAUCUUCCAUGAAAGAUAUGCAGGAGCUGGCCGCUCGCAAGUUCAAUAAGGGAAAAACAACUCCUGAAGAUGCACAAAAUACAAACCCAGAGACUGAGAGUCGAAAAAGGCAGCAGCAUAAAGAGCUUCCUUCAAAUUCCAACUUGAGCCCACUUGCUAGAUUUCUACUUUCUAGAUGGCAAAGCCAAACAUGAGGUGGAGAUAUCAACCCAAGAUUUGAUUAUAGCUCUGUUUUGUAGUGUGUUAUUUUCUUUCAUGCAUUUGUUAUAUGAUUUUGAUUGUACAUAACCUUUUUAACAAUUUGUGUAUUUGUUAUCCGUUUUGAUUAAAUUCUCUUUCUACA